ensembl:lncRNA
ACUACACAUCUUUGAAGCAGGAGUUGCAAGUUUGAUUCCCACCCAGUAUCCAGUAAUGAUCCUGGCUUCACCCCUCAUGCUAACCAAAAAACCCUGGAAUGGCGUGGCUUUGUCUGCAGCACACACACAAGAACAUUUCACUACACAUCGUUCUCUGUAUGAUACUGUAUAUGUUUGUUGGAGCAUGCAUCAAGACAGUUUAAAAAUUCACAUUUUUAUUUAUUAUGGCAGAAUGAUUGAUAGGACCAGAUGGCCGUGCAGUAUAAAGUGAUCUGGGAGAAACACCACUGUAUAUCAGUGAAGCAGCAACAUGUUUUUGUGGUGUUGCACUUUGUAGACGGUCCCUGAGCACUUCUCUCAAACUCAGCUGCACCUGGAGACAAGCAGGGUUUCUUUCACCUCCACCUUAAUGUUGGGAUUCAGAUGCUGAUGGUGUUCUGAUAACCUUUCUUAUCUGUUAUUGAUCCAGUUCAAAUAUGUGGCAUUAUUUCAAACUUAUGUGGUUCUUUCAAUAAACUCAAACCAAAUGGAGGCUCUGCUCUUUCCACGGUGAAUCACGCACCCACGCCCUGGAGGGUUUAUCAACUUCAAGUUCAGCCUCUGAGCAUGUUGAACCAGUUUACUGGAUCACAGCCCAGCAGGAAAUCCUCUCUGUUCGUUAGCAGUGAGGCAGGAAUGGCAGAGUUUUGAGAUGUGGAUUCACUCAGUUAUGAGCGGAGUGAUCAGGACUCUGUGUUUGCUGUCCUUCUUUGAAGGAUGAUGAAAAACUUGCUGCCGUUCCUGCUCCUCGUUUCCCAGCAUGCCCUAGCUGUGGUGGUGGAGGUAAAUGAGGGGGCAGAGUCUGUCCUACUGCCCUGUGAGUUCUCAGGUUUAAUACCUGAGAAUGACUCCACCGUGAUGUGGACUCACGAAGAUCUUUAUAACAAAUCUGUCCACCUACGACUAAAAGAAGGAGAUGAUCUUGGAGAGCAAAACCAGCGUUACAGCGGGCGCACAUCGAUGAGGCCUGAUGCUCUGAACACUGGAAACUUCAGCCUCACUCUGAGAAAACCACAACUGACUGACAGCGGCAACUACACCUGCUCCAUCGGUGAUGGAAUAGAAGAAAGGAGACUGAAAAAUGUACAGCUGCAGGUCAAAGAACAGUUUCCAUCCUGGGCCACAGCUCUCCUGGUUCUCCUGGUUCUCCUUGUUCUUCUUGUGGUUUCUGGAGGUCUUCUUUUUUAUUUCCGGCACUAUUUCAUGUCAGAUUAUAAGGUGGAGGUGGAUUCAGGGGUGGAGUCUGUCCAGCUGCCCUGCAAAACCACAGUUAACCUGCCUAAAGAUGCUAAAGUGGAGUGGAAGAACAAAAACAACAGGAAGGUCCACGUGUAUCAGAACGGCUCUGACCAGCUUGAAGAACAGCAUAAUUUUUACAGAGGGCGAACAAAGAUGAAGAGAAACUUACUGGAACCUGGAGACCUCAGUCUGAUCCUGAAACCCCCCACAGACACAGACACCUACACCUGCACCGUCUACAACAACAGGGGGGAGAUUCUGAUGAAAAAAGAAGUGCUGCUCAUUGUCAGAGGUCAGUGCUGUAGAUACAGGUCAAAAGUCAGAGAUCAGACUUAUGGAUAAGACAACGACCAAAUCCACCUGAAAAGUCUGCAAAAAGAAUUUUCACCUUUUCACAGUGGGGACUUUGAGUAAGCCCUAGUAAAUAAUUUUAGAGUAUAUGUACUUUACAUAUUCUAAUUUUAAAAUUAUUAUUUUGCUAGCUAGCAAACUCCGCGGAUAAAUUUUUGAAAUGCACUGAGUGUGAUGCAAUACAGCGCUAUUAUAGCAGUUAGUUAUGGCAUAACAGCAAUGUUAGCCAGGUACUUAACUAGCCAACUUAAGGCAUUCUGAUUACAGGCUCAAAGUGAAGUUGUCAC